UACGAGUGCCUCAAGCGUUAUCCGGAAUCAUUGGGCGUAAAGGUUGUGUGGGUGGUUGUAUUAGUCUCUUGUUAAAUUCUUCGGCUUAACCGGGGGCAUGCAAGGGAAACGGUACAACUCGAGGAUGCGAGGGGUCUGCGGAACUCAUAGUGUAGCGGUGAAAUGCGUUGAUAUUAUGGGGAACACCAAAAGCGAAGGCAGCAGACUGGAGCACUCCUGACACUGAAACAAGAAAGCGUGGGUCGCGAAUGGG
rnacentral:rRNA from 1 species